GAUCCUGGCUUAGGAUGAACGCUAGCUACAGGCUUAACACAUGCAAGUCGAGGGGCAGCAUGAUCUGUGCUUGCACAGAUUGAUGGCGACCGGCGCACGGGUGAGUAACGCGUAUCCAACCUUCCCCUUAGCAGGGCAUAGCCCGGCGAAAGUCGGAUUAAUACCCUAUGUUUUCCAAUGAGGACAUCUGAGCUGGAAUAAAGAUUCAUCGCUAAGGGAUGGGGAUGCGUCCGAUUAGGUUGUUGGCGGGGUAACGGCCCACCAAGCCUUCGAUCGGUAGGGGUUCUGAGAGGAAGGUCCCCCACACUGGUACUGAGACACGGACCAGACUCCUACGGGAGGCAGCAGUGAGGAAUAUUGGUCAAUGGGCGAGAGCCUGAACCAGCCAAGUAGCCGUGCAGGAUGACGGCCCUAUGGGUUGUAAACUGUCUUUUAUACGGGGAUAAAGUGAGGGACGUGUCCCUUAUUGUAGGUACCGUAUGAAUAAGGACCGGCUAAUUCCGUGCCAGCAGCUGC
rnacentral:rRNA from 1 species